GGAUAAGGGCCUUAGGUUGGCUGAAUGUUAUAUUUUGAAAAUUAGAUUUUGAUGGAUAUGUGUAGAUAUUAAACUUUGGAAUGUUGUUGAUGUUGUAUUUUUUUUUUUUUUUGGAUGUUAUAAUUCAAGGUUUAUACCUUAAAGUGAUUUCUCAAGUGAAUGGUGUUAAGUAAUUACAAGAUUAUGUGUAAGAUGUGAAUUGUGUGAUGUGCUUGCAAGCUGUGUGAUCAUGUAUUUGUCAUACUGAUUUGCCAAUGUUCAUUCUAGUUUUUUUCUUUUUCUUUUUUGGCUAGUUCAGUUAUUGCACCCUUACCACCUUCUUUUCAUCUAACUCUGCUUCGAGUACACUUUUUGCUUGAUAGAAUAAACAUACUUCUAUAUCAAUGAUCUCUUCUAGAAGCUUCUAUAAAACUUGUUUACAACAUAAGACUUUGUUUGUUAGUUGUACGUUAAUUUUACAUGUUUAUGUUCAAAUUUUUCUUGUGUAUAUAGGAUGGAUUUGGGUAUGAACUCAACACCUACUACUGCUAGAAGG
rnacentral:lncRNA from 1 species